UGCGUAUCCUGUGUUUGGACAUGUUUCCUACAUAAAAAAAACCCAACUGAAAUGACGUUUCCUUGGUCGGUUUUCCUCGUGUUUGCAACCUAUGAUGAUGACAAUUGGAAUAAUUAUGAUGCAUCAAAAGGGGCAUGUUUCCGUAUGAUGUAAUAACUACUAAGUAUGUUCAUAAAUAAGAAUACAAAAUUUACACAAAAAAAACAGCCAAUCAGUCAACCCCAUCGCACACUUAAAACUGUGAAAUAACAAUGUUAUAUUAAAAAUUAAUUAGGAUAACAAAUGAUUGAAGUAAAAGUUAUAAAAUACACAUUGACAUCUUAAAUCCUAAAAUCUUUUUCAAGGUACAAACCUAUAUAGAAGAAUGAGAUCACUGCAGCCAGCUUUUAUUCCCUAGUUAUCAGAAGCAGGUAUAGAUAUAGGAAGAUGUGGUGUGAGUCCCAAUGAGACAACUCUCCAUCCAAAUAACAAUUUAAAAAAAAGUAAACCAUUAUAGGUCAAUAUACGGACAUGCAUAUACAUGCUGACAUUUAAAUUUUGAUAUUUUUAAAGAAAAAUAGAACUUCUACUGAAUAAAACCAUCUCAUUUCGCGUUUUCUCUUUUUAUCAGGUAUAUGCAUUUAGUUUUAGGUGUAUGAUUUUUUUUCAUCAGUUGUUAUUGGCAUUGAACAGAUGUCAGUAACGCUGAUAUCUGAUAGCUUGAUAGUUUCCCCAAUAUAACUGAAAAUGAAACAUCAGAAAUACCGAAUCAACAAAUCAGUACAGAGGGCUUAAUCAAACUACUUGAAGGAGUGAACCCAAACAAAGCAAAUGGUCCAGACAAUAUAUCAUGUAGAAUAUUGAAAGAGUGUGCAGAGUCAAUUUCACCAUAUUUACAGCUGUUAUUUACCAAAAAAUUAUAAUAUCAUAGUGUAUUACAGGACUGACUAGUUGCAAAUGUCACAGCACUUUUCAAGAAAGGGGAAACGAGUCAACCAGUCAACUAUCGCCCAGUAUCCUUGACGUCAGUUCCAUGUAAAUAGAAAAAUCACAAAAAUACUGAACUCCGAGGGAAAUUCAAAACAAAAAACUGGAACAUAUCAUAUUCAAGCACAUCAUGAACCAUCUUGACAAACAUAUGAAUAUACUUGUGGACUUUCUACAUGGCUUCAGAAGCAAAAUAUAUAUUGCAACUAGUUAUAACAGCAGAGGACAUAACAAGAAAUCUGGACAAUAACCAACAGGUAGAUAUGCUUAUAUUAGACUUUAGUAAAGCAUUCGACACAGUACCACACCAUUUGUUGGAAAAAAACCUGCCUCAUAUGGUAUCAAUGGAAACAUACUUUCCUGGUUAUAAGCAUGGUUGACACAAAGAGAACAACAAGUCACACUGGACGGGAAAAGUUCAAGUACUGCUAAGGUAACAUCCGGCGUACCACAGUUUAAUGAACAUUGCUGUUUCUCCUAUACAUACAACGACAUAGGGAAUGACAUAACAUUAAAGAUAAACCAAUUCGCAGAUGAUAGCUUACUUUAUCUAGCGAUAUCAACUAAGGACGACUGCAAAUAUCUACCAGAAGAUCUUGACAAAAUGGUAAAGUUGGCACAAAUUUGGCAAAAUGGUUUGUCCUUACAAUAAAAAAAAAACAGAGUCAUACCAUCAACUUCAACUGCAACACCAAUGGAUUUAUCCUGGAAUCAGUUGCAUCAAAUCCAUACCUAGGCGCUGAACUUACCAACACAAUGUCAUGAGACAAACAAGUUAAGAAAGUUGUCACUAAAGGAAACAGAUCACUCGGCUUCAUACGAAGAAAUGUUGGAUCCUGUCCAGAGGAAGUCAAGAAACAAGCCUAUCUUGCUCUUGUCCGACCUCACCGUGAAUACGCUUGCAGCUAUAAAAACAUAUUUAUCAGAUUGAGAUGGUCCAACGCCGUGCAGGACGCUUUAUCAAAAAAAAACUACCCAAGAGAGCCUGUAACAGUUACAAUAGUGAACCUGACACCACUAGAAACCAAAAUAGCACGUAUAACGCUUUUUUAUUCGUUUGAUGUGUUUUAUCAUUUGAUUUUGCUAUUUGAUUAGGGACUUUCAGUUUUGAAACUCCUCGGAGUUCAGUAUUUUUGUGAUUUUACUUUUUUUUAUAAAUCCAUCAAUGAAAAGGUUGCUAUACCAAUUCCAUCACACAUUUUAAAACCAAGAAGAACUUCGAGACUCCAUCAACCGAAUACUAAAAGAUACGUACAAAUCAGGCCAAACAAAGGUAUUUACAAGUACAGCUUCUUUCCUCGGACCAGACGAACAACUACAGAUUAAGAGCAGAGAGGAAUUCAAGAUCAAACUCACCAAGCUUUUCUGUAGUUGCUUACCAACACAAACAAAAGAAGGAUGAUUUUUUUCACCAGCAACUGUACAUAUAUUUUGAGCACAAUUUUGAACUAAUGUUUAGUAAAUGUUAUGUUGGACGUCAAACUAAAAUUUAUACUUGAGUGAUGGUUCAAAGUACCUUUUUUCGAUUUUAGAUGUAUAUAUGUACUGGGCCUCUUUUAAAGUAGGGUAUGUUUAAGUUUCCUGUCAUAUCUACUCUGUGUUUUGUUAGAUGUAUUUCUAUUUGUAUCUAUCUGCUGAGUAAAGCCAUUUUCAACUGAUUUAUAUACAUGUAGUUUGUUCUUAUGAUGUACUGUUACCCCACUGUCACAGAUUAUGAGAGGGUUAGCGCCUUCAAACUUUUUUAAUCCCGCCAUAUUAUGGAUGUGCCUGUCCUAAAUCAGGAGCUUGUUAUUCAGUUGUUUAAUCCCGCCAUAUUAUGGAUGUGCCUGUCCUAAGUCAGGAGCUUGUUAUUCAGUCCCGCCAUAUUAUGGAUGUGCCUGUCCUAAGUCAGGAGCUUGUUAUUCAGUUGUUGUCAUUAAUCCCGCCAUAUUAUGGAUGUGCCUGUCCUAAAUCAGGAGCUUGUUAUUCAGUUG
rnacentral:lncRNA from 1 species